rnacentral:rRNA from 1 species
AGCGAACGCUGGCGGCAGGCUUAACACAUGCAAGUCGAGCGGACCUUUCGGGGUCAGCGGCGGACGGGUGAGUAACGCGUGGAAACGUGCCUUCCGGUUCGGAAUAACCCUGGGAAACUAGGGCUAAUACCGGAUACGCCCUUAUGGGGAAAGGUUUACUGCCGGAAGAUCGGCCCGCGUCUGAUUAGCUAGUUGGUGGGGUAACGGCCUACCAAGGCGACGAUCAGUAGCUGGUCUGAGAGGAUGAUCAGCCACACUGGGACUGAGACACGGCCCAGACUCCUACGGGAGGCAGCAGUGGGGAAUAUUGGACAAUGGGCGCAAGCCUGAUCCAGCCAUGCCGCGUGAGUGAUGAAGGCCUUAGGGUUGUAAAGCUCUUUUAUCCGGGACGAUAAUGACGGUACCGGAGGAAUAAGCCCCGGCUAACUUCGUG